GUUCUGCAGAUCAAGCCUGGACAAGUGGGGCAGGUUGGCGAGCGAUGCAGGGACUGUCACCAGAAGAUUGCUGUGAAGAUGGAGCCGCCGCAGAGACUUCAAAUUGGCUGCAGAAAACAGGUACCUAAAGAAUCCGGGAUUCUUGAUAGCUGAUUCCCAGAGAGAUCCAGUUCUGUGCAGCUGUGCAGAUUUCCAACCUCUUCAGGGAGAAGUUCCAAUGCAUUUUCUGAGAGAUCCAGUUCUUCCAGUGCUGUCAGCUCCCCAAUGCUCCGAGCUGUGCAAAAAAAAUGCUCUUCUUCUAGAGGAUGGAUAAAGAAAUGCAUCAACCUAACCGGGCUCCAAAGACUGGUCCACACGCAGCUGUAGAGGCAAAGGAAAGUUAUAAAUGUCUAGAUGCUGAUUCUUGUUGAAAUCCGCAUGCAGCUCUGAGCGAGACUAAGAGCCGAUACCCCAGCACAGGGCAAAAAAGCUCUAAGGAAUCUUGUUCUGCAGAUGUGGAAAGAUGGCUAAACACCAACACGAAGCUAAUUGAUGGGGUCCAGGAACUCACCUUUGAGCACCAGGGACUUCAGGCGCUUCAGAUGCGGAAGGAUGCUCAGCGCGGCGUCGAGCAGGUGAUUGUUAGUGCUGAGCCGGAGGAGCUCCACCUGCACCACGUCUGCCUGUUGCCUCUCGAACAGCCAGAGCAGCUGCCAGCAGCCAUCCGGAUAAAGAUCCAGAGUCAGCCUGUUGUCUGCCAAGCAGCAGCCAGUGAGUGAAGGAGCCCCCGGAGCCCCCUCCCCAUCCUUGUCCCCGAGCUUCAGCAGUUCUGCCAUCUUCUGCAUCUUGUCCAUCGGGGCCAGACAUGCUCCGACUUGCUAGGUGGGCAGGCACCGGCAGGCUGCCGGGAUGGGGAAGAGGAGAAAGGAUGGUUCUGAAAGAGAGCAGAUGUGCACAGUGAUGGCCUCCUGCCCCAGCACAGGGUGGCUGGUAACUGCUUAAAGCCGCAACAAGAAGGCAGGAGGUGUGUUGUCAAAAGCUUUGUGGGCAGAAGGGACAGAAACACAGGGGCUCUGUAGGGGCUCCUGCUAAAGAACACAUCUAAAUUUUCCCAGCUGAUUUUUUCCAACUCAGGGAAUGGAGAAAAUAUGUGUUGCUCCAGUUAUCCAUCAUAAUAAACAGCAAUAGGAACUUUAAAACGUA